rnacentral:rRNA from 1 species
GGCGCAAGCGUUAUCCGGAAUUAUUGGGCGUAAAGAGCUCGUAGGCGGUUUGUCGCGUCUGCCGUGAAAGUCCGGGGCUCAACUCCGGAUCUGCGGUGGGUACGGGCAGACUAGAGUGAUGUAGGGGAGACUGGAAUUCCUGGUGUAGCGGUGAAAUGCGCAGAUAUCAGGAGGAACACCGAUGGCGAAGGCAGGUCUCUGGGCAUUAACUGACGCUGAGGAGCGAAAGCAUGGGGAGCGAACAGGAUUAGAUACCCUGGUAGUCCAUGCCGUAAACGUUGGGCACUAGGUGUGGGGGACAUUCCACGUUUUCCGCGCCGUAGCUAACGCAUUAAGUGCCCCGCCUGGGGAGUACGGCCGCAAGGCUAAAACUCAAAGGAAUUGACGGGGGCCCGCACAAGCGGCGGAGCAUGCGGAUUAAUUCGAUGCAACGCGAAGAACCUUACCAAGGCUUGACAUGAACCGGAAAUACCUGGAAACAGGUGCCCCGCUUGCGGUCGGUUUACAGGUGGUGCAUGGUUGUCGUCAGCUCGUGUCGUGAGAUGUUGGGUUAAGUCCCGCAACGAGCGCAACCCUCGUUCUAUGUUGCCAGCGCGUUAUGGCGGGGACUCAUAGGAGACUGCCGGGGUCAACUCGGAGGAAGGUGGGGACGACGUCAAAUCAUCAUGCCCCUUAUGUCUUGGGCUUCACGCAUGCUACAAUGGCCGGUACAAAGGGUUGCGAUACUGUGAGGUGGAGCUAAUCCCAAAAAGCCGGUCUCAGUUCGGAUUGGGGUCUGCAACUCGACCCCAUGAAGUCGGAGUCGCUAGUAAUCGCAGAUCAGCAACGCUGCGGUGAAUACGUUCCCGGGCCUUGUAC